rnacentral:rRNA from 1 species
AAACCAGCACCUCAAGUGGUCAGGAGGGUUAUUGGGCCUAAAGCAUCCGUAGCCUGCUUUGUAAGUUUUCGGUUAAAUCCAUAUGCUCAACAUAUGGGCUGCCGAGAAUACUGCAUAGCUAGGGAGUGGGAGAGGUAGACGGUACUCCAUAGGAAGGGGUAAAAUCCUUUGAUCUAUGGAAGACCACCUGUGGCGAAGGCGGUCUACCAGAACACGUUCGACGGUGAGGGAUGAAAGCUGGGGGAGCAAACCGGAUUAGAAACCCCGGUAGUCC